UACGGAGGGUGCGAGCGUUGUCCGGAAUCACUGGGCAUAAAGGGCGCGUAGGCGGCUUUUCAAGUCAGGGGUGAAAUCCGGCAGCUUAACUGUCGAAGUGCCCUUGAUACUGAUGAGCUCGAGGGAGGUAGGGGUAUGUGGAACUUCCGGUGGAGCGGUGAAAUGCGUUGAUAUCGGAAGGAACGCCGGUGGCGAAAGCGACGUACUGGACCUCUUCUGACGCUGAGGCGCGAAAGCUAGGGGAGCAAACGGG
rnacentral:rRNA from 1 species